AUUGAACGCUGGCGGCAGGCCUAACACAUGCAAGUCGAACGGUAACAGGAAACAGCUUGCUGUUUCGCUGACGAGUGGCGGACGGGUGAGUAAUGUCUGGGAAACUGCCUGAUGGAGGGGGAUAACUACUGGAAACGGUAGCUAAUACCGCAUAACGUCGCAAGACCAAAGAGGGGGACCCUCGGGCCUCUUGCCAUCGGAUGUGCCCAGAUGGGAGUAGCUUGUUGGUGGGGUAACGGCUCACCAAGGCGACGAUCCCUAGCUGGUCUGAGAGGAUGACCCGGCCAACCUGGACCUGAGACAGGGCCCAGCUCCCUAGGGGAGGCAGCGGGGGGGAAUUUUGCACAAGGGGGGAAAGCCUGAUGAAGCCAUGCCGGUGUGAUGAAGAAGGCCUUCGGGUUGUAAAGUACUUUCGGCGGGGAGAAAGGGAGUAAAGUUAAUACCUGUGCUCAUUGAGGUUCCCCGCAAAAGAAGCACCGGCAAACUCCGU
rnacentral:rRNA from 1 species